AGAGUUUGAUCCUGGCUCAGGAUGAACGCUGGCGGCGUGCCUAAUACAUGCAAGUCGAGCGAACGGACGAGAAGCUUGCUUCUCUGAUGUUAGCGGCGGACGGGUGAGUAACACGUGGAUAACCUACCUAUAAGACUGGGAUAACUUCGGGAAACCGGAGCUAAUACCGGAUAAUAUUUUGAACCGCAUGGUUCAAAAGUGAAAGACGGUCUUGCUGUCACUUAUAGAUGGAUCCGCGCUGCAUUAGCUAGUUGGUAAGGUAACGGCUUACCAAGGCAACGAUGCAUAGCCGACCUGAGAGGGUGAUCGGCCACACUGGAACUGAGACACGGUCCAGACUCCUACGGGAGGCAGCAGUAGGGAAUCUUCCGCAAUGGGCGAAAGCCUGACGGAGCAACGCCGCGUGAGUGAUGAAGGUCUUCGGAUCGUAAAACUCUGUUAUUAGGGAAGAACAUAUGUGUAAGUAACUGUGCACAUCUUGACGGUACCUAAUCAGAAAGCCACGGCUAACUACGUGCCAGCAGCCGCGGUAAUACGUAGGUGGCAAGCGUUAUCCGGAAUUAUUGGGCGUAAAGCGCGCGUAGGCGGUUUUUUAAGUCUGAUGUGAAAGCCCACGGCUCAACCGUGGAGGGUCAUUGGAAACUGGAAAACUUGAGUGCAGAAGAGGAAAGUGGAAUUCCAUGUGUAGCGGUGAAAUGCGCAGAGAUAUGGAGGAACACCAGUGGCGAAGGCGACUUUCUGGUCUGUAACUGACGCUGAUGUGCGAAAGCGUGGGGAUCAAACAGGAUUAGAUACCCUGGUAGUCCACGCCGUAAACGAUGAGUGCUAAGUGUUAGGGGGUUUCCGCCCCUUAGUGCUGCAGCUAACGCAUUAAGCACUCCGCCUGGGGAGUACGACCGCAAGGUUGAAACUCAAAGGAAUUGACGGGGACCCGCACAAGCGGUGGAGCAUGUGGUUUAAUUCGAAGCAACGCGAAGAACCUUACCAAAUCUUGACAUCCUUUGACAACUCUAGAGAUAGAGCUUUCCCCUUCGGGGGACAAAGUGACAGGUGGUGCAUGGUUGUCGUCAGCUCGUGUCGUGAGAUGUUGGGUUAAGUCCCGCAACGAGCGCAACCCUUAAGCUUAGUUGCCAUCAUUAAGUUGGGCACUCUAAGUUGACUGCCGGUGACAAACCGGAGGAAGGUGGGGAUGACGUCAAAUCAUCAUGCCCCUUAUGAUUUGGGCUACACACGUGCUACAAUGGACAAUACAAAGGGCAGCGAAACCGCGAGGUCAAGCAAAUCCCAUAAAGUUGUUCUCAGUUCGGAUUGUAGUCUGCAACUCGACUACAUGAAGCUGGAAUCGCUAGUAAUCGUAGAUCAGCAUGCUACGGUGAAUACGUUCCCGGGUCUUGUACACACCGCCCGUCACACCACGAGAGUUUGUAACACCCGAAGCCGGUGGAGUAACCUUUUAGGAGCUAGCCGUCGAAGGUGGGACAAAUGAUUGGGGUGAAGUCGUAACAAGGUAGCCGUAUCGGAAGGUGCGGCUG
rnacentral:rRNA from 25 species